AACGAACGCUGGCGGCAUGCCUAACACAUGCAAGUCGAACGAGACCUUCGGGUCUAGUGGCGCACGGGUGCGUAACGCGUGGGAACCUGCCCUUAGGUUCGGAAUAACUCCCCGAAAGGGGUGCUAAUACCGGAUAAUGUCUUCGGACCAAAGAUUUAUCGCCUUUGGAUGGGCCCGCGUUGUAUUAGCUAGUUGGUAGGGUAAAAGCCUACCACGGCGACGAUCCAUAGCUGGUCUGAGAGGAUGAUCAGCCACACUGGGGCUGAGACACGGCCCAGACUCCUACGGGAGGGAGCAGUGGGGGAUAUUGGACAAUGGGGGAAAGCCUGAUCCAGCAAUGCCGCGUGAGUGAUGAAGGCCGUAGGGUUGUAAAGCUCUUUUACCCGGGAUGAUAAUGACAGUACCGGGAGAAUAAGCUCCGGCUAACUCCGUG
rnacentral:rRNA from 1 species